rnacentral:rRNA from 1 species
GAACGCGAAGAACCUUACCAAAUCUUGACAUCCUCUGACCCCUCUAGAGAUAGAGUUUUCCCCUUCGGGGGACAGAGUGACAGGUGGUGCAUGGUUGUCGUCAGCUCGUGUCGUGAGAUGUUGGGUUAAGUCCCGCAACGAGCGCAACCCUUAAGCUUAGUUGCCAUCAUUAAGUUGGGCACUCUAAGUUGACUGCCGGUGACAAACCGGAGGAAGUGUGGGGAUGACGUCAAAUCAUCAUGCCCCUUAUGAUUUGGGCUACACACGUGCUACAAUGGACAAUACAAAGGGUAGCGAAACCGCGAGGUCAAGCAAAUCCCAUAAAGUUGUUCUCAGUUCGGAUUGUAGUCUGCAACUCGACUAUAUGAAGCUGGAAUCGCUAGUAAUCGUAGAUCAGCAUGCUACGGUGAAUACGUUCCCGGGUCUUGUACACACC